rnacentral:rRNA from 1 species
CUUAGUAACGGCGAGUGAAGCGGCAAAAGCUCAAAUUUGAAAUCUGGCACCUUCGGUGUCCGAGUUGUAAUUUGAAGAAGGUAACUUUGGAGUCAGCUCUUGUCUAUGUUCCUUGGAACAGGACGUCACAGAGGGUGAGAAUCCCGUGCGAUGAGAUGUCUGAUUCUAUGUAAAGUGCUUUCGAAGAGUCGAGUUGUUUGGGAAUGCAGCUCUAAGUGGGUGGUAAAUUCCAUCUAAAGCUAAAUAUUGGCGAGAGACCGAUAGCGAACAAGUACAGUGAUGGAAAGAUGAAAAGAACUUUGAAAAGAGAGUGAAAAAGUACGUGAAAUUGUUGAAAGGGAAGGGUUUGAGAUCAGACUUGGUAUUUUGUAUGUCUUGCUUUCGGGUGGGGCCUCUACAGUUUACUGGGCCAGCAUCGGUUUGGACGGUAGGAUAAUGACAUUGGAAUGUGGCACCACUUCGGUGGUGUGUUAUAGACUUUGUUGAUACUGCCUGUCUAGACCGAGGACUGCGUCUUUGACUAGGAUGCUGGCAUAAUGAUCUUAAACC